rnacentral:rRNA from 1 species
AACGAACGCUGGCGGCAUGCCUAACACAUGCAAGUCGAACGAUCCCUUCGGGGAUAGUGGCGCACGGGUGCGUAACGCGUGGGAACCUGCCCUUAGGUUCGGAAUAACUCAGAGAAAUUUGCGCUAAUACCGGAUAAUGUCUUCGGACCAAAGAUUUAUCGCCUUUGGAUGGGCCCGCGUUGGAUUAGCUAGUUGGUGGGGUAAAGGCUCACCAAGGCGACGAUCCAUAGCUGGUCUUAGAGGAUGAUCAGCCACACUGGGACUGAGACACGGCCCAGACUCCUACGGGAGGCAGCAGUGGGGAAUAUUGGACAAUGGGCGAAAGCCUGAUCCAGCAAUGCCGCGUGAGUGAUGAAGGCCCUAGGGUUGUAAAGCUCUUUUACCAGGGAUGAUAAUGACAGUACCUGGAGAAUAAGCUCCGGCUAACUCCGUGCCAGCAGCCGCGGUAAAAC